rnacentral:rRNA from 1 species
UGGCGGACGGGUGAGUAACGCGUGGGUAACCUGCCUCAUACAGGGGGAUAACAGUUAGAAAUGACUGCUAAUACCGCAUAAGACCACGGAGCCGCAUGGCUCAGUGGGAAAAACUCCGGUGGUAUGAGAUGGACCCGCGUCUGAUUAGGUAGUUGGUGGGGCAACGGCCUACCGAGCCAACGAUCAGUAGCCGACCUGAGAGGGUGACCGGCCACAUUGGGACUGAGACACGGCCCAA